CUUACACAUGCAAGUCGAACGAUGAACCACUUCGGUGGGGAUUAGUGGCGAACGGGUGAGUAACACGUGGGCAAUCUGCCCUGCACUCUGGGACAAGCCCUGGAAACGGGGUCUAAUACCGGAUACUGACCCUCGCAGGCAUCUGCGAGGUUCGAAAGACUCCGGCGGUGCAGGAUGAGCCCGCGGCCUAUCAGCUUGUUGGUGAGGUAUAUGGGCCUCACACACAGGGCGAGCGAGCGGGUUAGCCGGCCCUGAAGAGGGCCGACCCGGCCCACACUGGGACUGAGACACCGGCCCCAGACUCCUACGGGAGGCAGCCAGUGGGGAAUAUUGCACMAUGGGCGAAAGCCUGAUGCAGCGACGCCGCGUGAGGGAUGACSGCCUUCSGGUUGUAAACCUCUUUCAGCAGGGAAGAAGCGAAAGUGACGGUACCUGCAGAAGAAGCGCYGGCUAACUACGUGCCAGCAGCCGCGGUAAUACGUAGGGCGCAAGCGUUGUCCUGGAAUUAUUGGGCGUAAAGAGCUCGUAGGCGGCUUGUCGCGUCGGUUGUGAAAGCCCGGGGCUUAACCCCGGGUCUGCAGUCGAUACGGGCAGGCUAGAGUUCCGGUAGGGGAGAUCGGAAUUCCCUGGUGUAGCGGUGAAAUGCGCAGAUAUCAGGAGGAACACCGGUGGCGAAGGCGGAUCUCUGGGCCGAUACUGACGCUGAGGAGCGAAAGCGUGGGGAGCGAACAGGAUUAGAUACCCUGGUAGUCCACGCCGUAAACGGUGGGCACUAGGUGUGGGCAACAUUCCACGUUGUCCGUGCCGCAGCUAACGCAUUAAGUGCCCCGCCUGGGGAGUACGGCCGCAAGGCUAAAACUCAAAGGAAUUGACGGGGGCCCGCACAAGCGGGCGGAGCAUGUGGCUUUAAUUCGGACGCAACGCGAAGAACCUUACCAAGGGCUUGACAUACACCGGAAAACGCAUCAGAGACAGGUGCCCCCCUUGUGGUCGGUGUACAGGUGGUGCAUGGCCUGUCKUCAGCUCGUGUCSUGAGAAUKUUGGRUUAAGUCCCGCAACGAGCGCAACCCUUGUCCCGUGUUGCCAGCAGGCCCUUGUGGUGCUGGGGACUCACGGGAGACCGCCGGGGUCAACUCGGAGGAAGGUGGGGACGACGUCAAGUCAUCAUGCCCCUUAUGUCUUGGGCUGCACACGUGCUACAAUGGCCGGUACAAUGAGCUGCGAUACCGCAAGGUGGAGCGAAUCUCAAAAAGCCGGUCUCAGUUCGGAUUGGGGUCUGCAACUCGACCCCAUGAAGUCGGAGUCGCUAGUAAUCGCAGAUCAGCAUUGCUGCGGUGAAUACGUUCCCGGGCCUUGUACACACCGCCCGUCACGUCACGAAAGUCGGUAACACCCGAAGCCGGUGGCCCAACCCCUUGUGGGAGGGAGCUGUCGAAGGUGG
rnacentral:rRNA from 1 species